GACGAACGCUGGCGGCGUGCUUAACACAUGCAAGUCGAACGAAGUGGCGAACGGGUGAGUAACGCGUAAUCAACCUGCCCUUCAGAGGGGGACAACAGUUGGAAACGACUGCUAAUACCGCAUACUGAAGGAGGGGAUUGCGUCUGAUUAGCUAGUUGGAGGGGUAAAGGCCCACCAAGGGGAGGACCAGUAGCCGGUCUGGGAGGAUGAACGGGCACAUUGGGACUGAGAAACGGCCCAGACUCCUACGGGAGGGAGCAGGGGGGAAUCUUCCGCAAUGGACGAAAGUCUGACGGAGCAACGCCGGGUGAGUGAUGACGGCCUUCGGGUUGUAAAGCUCUGUUAAUCGGGACGCGGUACCGGAAUAGAAAGCCACGGCUAACUACGUGCCAGCAGCCGCGGUAAUAC
rnacentral:rRNA from 1 species